rnacentral:rRNA from 1 species
UACGAAGGGGGCUAGCGUUGCUCGGAAUGACUGGGCGUAAAGGGCGCGUAGGCGGAUGGCACAGUCAGAUGUGAAAUUCCCGGGCUUAACCUGGGGGGCUGCAUUUGAUACGUGUUGUCUUGAGUUCGGAAGAGGGUCGUGGAAUUCCCCAGUGUAGAGGUGAAAAUUCGUAGAUAUUGGGAAGAACACCGGUGGCGAAGGCGGCGACCUGGUCCGACACUGACGCUGAGGCGCGAAAGCGUGGGGAGCAAACAGG